rnacentral:rRNA from 1 species
UACGCAGGGGGCUAGCGUUGCUCGGAAUUACUGGGCGUAAAGGGCGCGUAGGCGGCACUGUUAGUCAGGCGUGAAAGUCCUGGGCUCAACCUGGGAACUGCGCUUGAUACGGCAGAGCUAGAGGAUGGAAGAGGCUCGCGGAAUUCCCAGUGUAGAGGUGAAAUUCGUAGAUAUUGGGAAGAACACCGGUGGCGAAGGCGGCGAGCUGGUCCAUUACUGACGCUGAGGCGCGACAGCGUGGGGAGCAAACAGG